rnacentral:rRNA from 1 species
AUACGUAGGUGGCAAGCGUUGUCCGGAAUUAUUGGGCGUAAAGCGCGCGCAGGUGGUUCCUUAAGUCUGAUGUGAAAGCCCCCGGCUCAACCGGGGAGGGUCAUUGGAAACUGGGGAACUUGAGUGCAGAAGAGGAUAGUGGAAUUCCAAGUGUAGCGGUGAAAUGCGUAGAGAUUUGGAGGAACACCAGUGGCGAAGGCGACUGUCUGGUCUGUAACUGACACUGAGGCGCGAAAGCGUGGGGAGCAAACAGGAUUAGAUACCCUGGUAGUCCACGCCGUAAACGAUGAGUGCUAAGUGUUGGGGGGUUUCCGCCCCUCAGUGCUGCAGCUAACGCAUUAAGCACUCCGCCUGGGGAGUACGGUCGCGAGACUGAAACUCAAAGGAAUUGACGGGG